rnacentral:tRNA from 1 species
CUCUCUUUGUCUCAGUGGUUAAAGCUUGAGGUCUUGUGACCAGAAGGUCCUGGGAUCGAAUCUCGCCAGAGAUG